UGCAGUCGAGCGAACAGAAGGGAGCUUGCUCCCGGAUGUUAGCGGCGGACGGGUGAGUAACACGUGGGUAACCUGCCUGUAAGACUGGGAUAACUCCGGGAAACCGGAGCUAAUACCGGAUAGUUCCUUGAACCGCAUGGUUCAAGGAUGAAAGACGGUUUCGGCUGUCACUUACAGAUGGACCCGCGGCGCAUUAGCUAGUUGGUGGGGUAAUGGCUCACCAAGGCGACGAUGCGUAGCCGACCUGAGAGGGUGAUCGGCCACACUGGGACUGAGACACGGCCCAGACUCCUACGGGAGGCAGCAGUAGGGAAUCUUCCGCAAUGGACGAAAGUCUGACGGAGCAACGCCGCGUGAGUGAUGAAGGUUUUCGGAUCGUAAAGCUCUGUUGUUAGGGAAGAACAAGUGCGAGAGUAACUGCUCGCACCUUGACGGUACCUAACCAGAAAGCCACGGCUAACUACGUGCCAGCAGCCGCGGUAAUACGUAGGUGGCAAGCGUUGUCCGGAAUUAUUGGGCGUAAAGGGCUCGCAGGCGGUUUCUUAAGUCUGAUGUGAAAGCCCCCGGCUCAACCGGGGAGGGUCAUUGGAAACUGGGAAACUUGAGUGCAGAAGAGGAGAGUGGAAUUCCACGUGUAGCGGUGAAAUGCGUAGAGAUGUGGAGGAACACCAGUGGCGAAGGCGACUCUCUGGUCUGUAACUGACGCUGAGGAGCGAAAG
rnacentral:rRNA from 1 species